rnacentral:rRNA from 15 species
UUAAAUUGAAGAGUUUGAUCAUGGCUCAGAUUGAACGCUGGCGGCAGGCCUAACACAUGCAAGUCGAACGGUAACAGGAAGCAGCUUGCUGCUUUGCUGACGAGUGGCGGACGGGUG